GAUGAACGCUGGCGGCGUGCUUAACACAUGCAAGUCGAGCGAGCGGCGGACGGGUGAGUAAUGUCUGGGGAACUGCCUGAUGGCGGGGGAUAACUACUGGAAACGGUAGCUAAUACCGCAUACCCUCAGAUGAACCCAUAUGGGAGUAGCUAGUCGGUGGGGUAAAGGCUUACCUAGGCGACGAUCCCUAGCUGGUCUGAGAGGAUGAACAGCCACACUGGGACUGAGACCCGGCCCAGCCUCCUACGGGAGGCAGCAGUGGGGAAUAUUGCACAAUGGGCGCAAGCCUGAUGCAGCCAUGCCGCGUGUGUGAAGAAGGCCUUCGGGUUGUAAAGCACUUUCAGCGGGGAGGCGUUACUGACAGAAGAAGCACCGGCUAACUCCGUGCCAGCAGCCGCGGUAAUAC
rnacentral:rRNA from 1 species